GAUGAAGAACGUAGCGAAAUGCGAUAAGUAAUGCGAAUUGCAGAAUCCGUGAGUCAUCGAAUCUUUGAACGCACAUUGCGCCCGCCAGUAUUCUGGCGGGCAUGCCUGUUCGAGCGUCAUUUCAACCAUCAAGCCCCGGGCUUGUGUUGGGGACCUGCGGCUGCCGCAGGCCCUGAAAUGCAGUGGCGGGCUCGCUGUCACUCCGAGCGUAGUAGUUACAUCUCGCUCUGGGCGUGCUGCGGGUUCCGGCCGUUAAAAGCCUUAUUUACCCAAGGUUGACCUCGGAUCAGGUAGGAAGACCCGCUGAACUUAAGCAUAUCAAUAAGCGGAGGA
rnacentral:misc_RNA from 1 species